GGUUCAGGGGAGACAUAUUUUUUUCUCCUGUUCAGUCGCCGCCGCGGACAAUUUAUAAUAUCGAUAUUAUUUGUAAACCGUAAUGAUAAUAUUUUUAAUAUUUUUGCCGGUCAAAAACUCGAAAUCUGUUGAACCAGUACACCAUUACUCGUACGUCAUAGUACAGUAAGUUAAUACAUUUAAAUACUUUACAUAAUCUAUACUUAUAUGGUAGGCGACUACCGCAUUACCACGACGUGUAGGCGCGUGCGCCCGAAGCGACGUAACACAUACAAUAUGUAUGUUAUUAUAGUUGGCCCAUCGUUCUCUUCGUGCAAUGUUACGGAUUUUCAUCCUCGACGGCCCGAGCGAUAUAACUUAUAACAUAAUAAUACUUUGUCCCAAAUCCCGCAGACCAAAUAUUUGAAUAAUUUAUAUCGGCUCGACGGCAACAACAAUCAACCUAAAUAAAUAAAAAUCAGUGGAAUCUCUGCCGCUCAAUCAUUACGAUAGCCGGCACGGCACAUUGGCAUCGUCGCGACGCAAACCGUAUAGUCAGUAGGACAAUUCGAUGGACCACAGCAAAAACGUAUUGAAUAAGAAAUACUCAAUACCGACUCAAUAUCAUAUUAUUAUUAAAACACGUCAUGUCGGUGAUUUGAUCUGAUUUGAAAGAAGGCGUUUUUUUACAAGACACGUCCAAAUUCACACCGCCUGCGGUCAUCCCUCAAACGACGCGGCCGAUGGACUGCAGUGAACCUAUAGCCGCCGUAAUAAUAACAUCGGUAAGACCUGGUUAACACCACACCGGUGCCGCGUUCCUUUUAACACGGGUAAUAAAAUGUCGGUAACGCGUCAACUACGUCAAGUCGACGAUAUUACACAUUCAAGUUGAAAUGAUUCAACUCUAUAUACGACACGGAUUACGUCGUGCCCGGCCCAUGUCUCAUUCGGCCGCUACAAUCCGGCGCGUGGCGGCCCCAAGUUCACUGCUGCUACGUGUGACACCGUGCCGUGCGUGCGCGUGCGUUUUUGCCAGAGUAAAUGCGCACCGUAUGAAUUCCGAGUAACGUGUGUCGCGUGAUGGUUUUCCUCGAUGACGUCCGCUCGCCGAUAAUAUUAUUAUAAUAAUAAUAUUACGUUAUUACACGAUAACAUUCACGCAAACGAAUAUUGUGCGUAAUUAAAACCAAUAAUUAUUACGUCGCCGUCGACGGUCAUUCGGGUACACGACGUUUAUAAUUGAUAUUAUGUAAAUCGUCUUUAUUAUAAUAUAAGAGUAUAGUAAUAAUAAUAAUUUAAAAAAAAGAAAAAAACCAAGUACAAUUGAACGUCGGGACAUCAUAAUAUAUAGGCAUCAUAUAUUAUACUAUAAUACUGCAGUGUGAUAUAUAUGUAUAUGACGAAUUUAAUUAAUUUUUUCUUCGUAAUGUAUGUACGAUGUAUAUUAUAAUAAUACGACUCUUUGCAUAUUUUUUUUUCUUGACAUACAUAUAUUCAUUAUUAUAAUACUAUUAUAUUUAUCACGAUUGUGGUGAAUUCGUUAAAACCCCUAGUUUUUUUGCACGCCGAGUACAACUUCGUUGUUUGUACUUGCAUAUCGUAUAUUUUGAGCUUCAGUGGUGAUUAUUUCGAAAUGUUAAUAAUAUUAACAUACCUACAUAAUAUUGUACAUACAUUUAUAACCUAUAUCUACUCCAACGGUGUCGAUUUACUUGAAAUUCAAUUCCACCAAUUGACAAACACCGUGUUCAACGAGUUGGUCCACAUAGCUGGUGCGUUGUAGUUAUGCAUUUAUAUACGUGUGAAAUUAUAACCAUAUUAUAUUUUAUAUUUGAUAUGCAUCGUUAUAAUACGGUCCGACUGUCCGGGUAUCGUUAAAACGCCGAUAAAACAUUUUUCUAGAACAUUAUAAUGUAGGUACUCCAUGUAGAUACUGCAGAGAUAGAUAUUAUUAUACUCUUCUCGGACAUAGGUGGCGGUAAAGUAAAAUAAAAAAUACAAUUUAUCGCAUUCGUGUAAUUGCGAGUUGCAGGCUUACGAUAAAAAUCGAGAUGUUCGUUUAAUAAUACAAAUGGGCAAUGGUAUAGUAUUAUUCUAGAAUUGUAAUAAUAAUAAUAAAUAUUAUCAUAGAAAUAAACUUGCACAGUUGUAUACUUUACAAUGAUAAUAAUUAAAUAUGUAAUUUAGGUCAUUUGUGAGUAAACAAAAACACAAAUUUAGUUCUUUAAAUUAUCGUACCUAGUUAAAUUAGGUAUCCUCAAAAAGAAACGCGUAGAACUUAAUUAUUAUUUGUGUAGG